CCUACGGGUGGCAGCAGUGGGGAAUAUUGCACAAUGGGGGAAACCCUGAUGCAGCGACGCCGCGUGAGUGAAGAAGUAUUUCGGUACGUAAAGCUCUAUCAGCAGGGAAGAAAAUGACGGUACCUGACUAAGAAGCCCCGGCUAACUACGUGCCAGCAGCCGCGGUAAUACGUAGGGGGCAAGCGUUAUCCGGAUUUACUGGGUGUAAAGGGAGCGUAGGCGGUAGCGCAAGUCUGGAGUGAAAGCCCAUGGCUUAACCCUGGAACUGCUUUGGAAACUGUGCAGCUAGAGUGCAGGAGAGGUAAGCGGAAUUCCUAGUGUAGCGGUGAAAUGCGUAGAUAUUAGGAGGAACACCAGUGGCGAAGGCGGCUUACUGGACUGUAAAUGACGUUGAGGCUCGAAAGCGUGGGGAGCAAACAGGAUUAGAUACCCGGGUAGUC
rnacentral:rRNA from 1 species